rnacentral:rRNA from 1 species
GGAAGGUGGGGAUGACGUCAAGUCCUCAUGGCCCUUAUGCCCAGGGCUACACACGUGCUACAAUGGGCGGUACAAAGGGUAGCGAUGCCGCGAGGUGAAGCCAAUCCCAAAAAGCCGUCCACAGUUCGGAUUGGAGUCUGCAACUCGACUCCAUGAAGCCGGAAUCGCUAGUAAUCGUGGAUCAGCAUGCCACGGUGAAUACGUUCCCGGGCCUU